rnacentral:rRNA from 1 species
AGUGAACGCUGGCGGUAGGCCUAACACAUGCAAGUCGAACGGCAGCACAGUAAGAGCUUGCUCUUACGGGUGGCGAGUGGCGGACGGGUGAGGAAUACAUCGGAAUCUACUUUUUCGUGGGGGAUAACGUAGGGAAACUUACGCUAAUACCGCAUACGACCUACGGGUGAAAGCAGGGGAUCUUCGGACCUUGCGCGAUUGAAUGAGCCGAUGUCGGAUUAGCUAGUUGGCGGGGUAAAGGCCCACCAAGGCGACGAUCCGUAGCUGGUCUGAGAGGAUGACCCCCCCAACGGGAACUGGACAACGGGCCAGACUCCUAGGGGAGGCAGCAGUGGGGAAUUUUGGAAAAUGGGCGCAAGCCUGAUCCAGCCAUACCGGGGGGGGGAAGAAGGCCUUCGGGUUGGAAAGCCCUUUUGUUGGGAAAAAAAAGCAGCAGGUUAAAACCCCGCUGUUCUGACGGUCCCCAAAGAAUAAGCACCGGCUAACUUCGU